GGUUUGAUUCUGUAGCUCAGGAAUUGAACGCUUCUGGCGGGAUGCUUACGCUAUGCAAGUCGAACGCAGCAGCACGGACUUCGGUCUGGUGGCGAGUGGCGAACAGGGUGAGUAAUGUAUCGGAACGUGCCUAGUAGCGGGGGAUAACUACGCGAAAGCGUAGCUAAUACCACAUAUGCGCCCUUCGGGGGAAAGCAGGGGACCUUCGGGCCUCGCACUAUUAAGAGCGGCCGAUAUCAGGAUUGGGCGAUUGUGGUGGGGUAACGGCUCGCAAGGCGACGAUCGUGCUUCGGUUUGAGGACGACCAGCCAUGGGACUGAGACGGCCCAGACUCUGGGAGGCAGCAGUGGGGAAUUUUGGACAAUGGGGGAAACCUGAUCAGCCAUCCCGCGUGUGCGAUGAAGGCCUUCGGGUUGUAAACACUUUGGCAGGAAAAACGGCACGGGAUAAUACCCCGUGCAACUGACAGUACCUGCAGAAUAAAAACGCAGCAACUACGUGCCAGCAGCGCGGUAAUACGUAGGGUGCAAGCGUUAAUCGGAAUUACUGGGCGUAAAGCGUGCGCAGGCGGUUCGGAAGAAGAUGUGAAGUCCCAGGCUUAACUUUGGAACUGCAUUUUUAACUACCGAGCUAGAGUGUGUCAGAGGAGGUGGAAUUCCGCGUGUAGCAGUGAAAUGCGUAGAUAUGCGGAGGAACACCGAUGGCGAAGGCAGCUGGGACACACUGACGCUCAUGCACGACGUGGGAACGACGGGAUUGAAGAUACCCUGGUGGUCCCACACUAUAAACGAUGUCAACUAGCUGUUGGGGCCUUCGGGCCUUGGUAGCGCAGCCGCAUGAAGUUGACCGCCUGGGAGAUACGAUCGCAAGAUUAAAAACUCCAAAGGAAUUGACGGACCACACAAGCGGUGGAUGAUGUGGAUUAAUUCGAUGCAACGCGAAAAACCUUACCUACCCUUGACAUGUCUGGAAUCCCGAAGAGAUUUGGGAGUGCUCGCAAGAGAACCGGGGUACAGGUGUCUGCAUGGCUGUCGUCAGCUCGUGUCGUGAGAUGUUGGGUUGGGUCCGCAACGAGCGCAACCCUUGUCAUUAGUUGCUACGAAGGGCACUCUAAUGAGACUGCCGGUGACAAACCGGAGGAAGGUGGGGAUGACGUCAAGUCCUCAUGGCCCUUAUGGGUAGGGCUUCACGUCAUACAAUGGUCGGGACAGAGGGUCGCCAACCGCAGAGAGGGAGCCAAUCCCGAAGGCCCGAUCGUAGUCCGGAUCAUGAUCUGCAACUCGACUGCGUGAAGUCGGAAUCGCUAGUAAUCGCGGAUCAGCAUGUCGCGGUGAAUACGUUCGGUCUUGUACACACCGCCCGUCACACCAUGGGAGUGGGUUUUACCAAGUAGUUAGCCUAACCGUAAGGAGGCAGACUACCACGGUAGGAUUCAUGACUGGGGUGAAGUCGUAAUAAAGGUAA
rnacentral:rRNA from 1 species